AUUGUUGUAAAAGUAAAUAAGAUUUAAAACCAUGAAGAUCUACACUCCAUACCAGUCGGUGGCGGUAAUGCACAUCUUCAAGUUAUUUGCCAACCGCCAAAAAUAAUACAAGAAGAACCAGAGCGAAGUAAACUCAAGAAUCGGGUUAAACUGGAUUUCAGUCACUGAACUGGUAGAGAAUUAACACAGAUCAUUUAAAAGUCACAAUCUGACGCUUAAUGUGCUUGUUGCACAAAUUGUAAAUUAAAUUAGAGUGUAUUAAACAUCAAACACAGCUACAAUCAGUGAUUCACACACUAAGUAAUAAACACCUAAAUCCGUUAUCAAGCCAACCUUGAGCACAAACGAGAGUUACUGCAGGAUAUAGAUGAUUAAACCUAUAAGGAGUUAGAACAGAUUGUCUCCUUACUGCCCCAUAACACUUUUUUUACUGUAACACCAACACUGAUGUCCUCUGCUAGGCCUGCAGGCAGCAUGAGCAGCACUGGAUGGAGGUUAAGAGUUCAGAUGUCUUCGCAGCUAGAUUGUUGGGUACACAAGCCCAAUGACUAAAUUCUGUCUCAGAAAAUUAAAAUAUUACAUAUGAUUAAUAAAAAUGAUAUUUUAAACAAAUGUCAGGCUUCUGAAAAUGUUCUCAGUACCUGGUCUUGGUUCCGUUUUCAUGAAAUACUGCAUCAGUGUGGCGUGGCUUGAAGGAGAUCAGUCUGUGGUUCUGUUGGGAUGUUCUGGAAGCCCAGGUUGCUUUAACAGUGGCCUUCGGGUCAUCUACAUUGUUGAUUCUGGUGUCUCUCAUCUUCCUCUGGACAAUACUCCAUAGAUUCUCUGUGGGGUUCUGGUCAGCCCAGUUUGCUGGCCAAUCAAGCACGGUAUCACCAUCGUCACUGAACAGGCUUUUGGUACCUUGGUGGGCCGGUACCAAGUCCUGCUGGAAACUAAAAUCAGCAUCUCCAUUAAGCUUUCACAAAAUGCUCUAAAUUUCCUGGUAGAUGGCUGCAUUGACUGUGGACUUCAGAAAACCCAUUGGACCAAAACCAGCAGAUGACAAGGCACCCCAAAUCUUCCCUGACUGUAGAAAUUCACACUGGAUGUCAAGCAACGUGGAUUCUGGCCUCUCCGCUCUUCCUGCAGACUCAGAGACCUUGAUUUCCAAAUAAAAUCAGAACUUUAAUUUAAUCUGAAAAGUGGACUUUGGACCACUGAGCAACUAUCUGGUUCUCUUCCGUCCAGAAAGGACUGAAUGUGUUUUCACCCUUCGUCCAUUAGAAAGAUAAACUGCUUCCCAGAUUGAGCAUACAUAAUCUAAUGGGGGAAUGAUGAAUGAGACAACUGGAGAGACUGAAUCAGA